GGGAGUUUGGUCUAGUGGUAUGAUUCUCGCUUUGGGUGCGAGAGGUCGUGGGUUCGAUUCCCGCAGCUCCCC
rfam:Volvox carteri f. nagariensis unplaced genomic scaffold VOLCAscaffold_134, whole genome shotgun sequence.